rnacentral:rRNA from 1 species
UACGAAGGAUCCUAGCGUUGUCCGGAUUUACUGGGUUUAAAGGGAGCGUAGGCGGACUUUUAAGUCAGUGGUGAAAGCCUGCAGCUUAACUGUAGAAUUGCCAUUGAAACUGAUUGUCUCGAGUGCGGUUGAGGUCACUGGAAUGUAUCAUGGUAGCGGUGAAAUGCUUAGAUAUGAUACAGAACACCAAUUGCGAAGGCAGGUGACUAAGCCGUAACUGACGCUGAGGCUCGAAAGCGUGGGAAUCAAACGG